UACGUAGGGUGCGAGCGUUAAUCGGAAUGACUGGGCGUAAAGGGCGCGCAGGUGGACGGGAAAGUCGAGUGUGAAAUCCCCGAGCUUAACUUGGGAAUUGCGCUCGAAACUACGUGGCUCGAGUGUGGCAGAGGAAGGUGGAAUUCCACGUGUAGCGGUGAAAUGCGUAGAGAUGUGGAGGAACACCGAUGGCGAAGGCAGCCUUCUGGGCCAACACUGACGCUCAUGCACGAAAGCGUGGGGAGCAAACAGG
rnacentral:rRNA from 1 species